UACGUAGGUGGCGAGCAUUGUCCGGAAUUACUGGGUGUAAAGCGCGUGUAGGCGGGAGGCCAAGUCUGCGGUGAAAUCGCUCGGCUCAACUGGGCGGGGUCCGUGGAAACUGGUCACCUGGAGGACGGUAGAGGCGAGUGGAAUUCCCGGUGUAGUGGUGAAAUGCGUAGAGAUCGGGAGGAACACCAGUGGCGAAGGCGGCUCGCUGGGCCGGACCUGACGCUGAGACGCGAAGGCGUGGGGAGCGAACGGG
rnacentral:rRNA from 1 species